rnacentral:rRNA from 1 species
UUAUUUAAUUUAAAUUAAUGGAUUAGUGAAGUAAUCUUUUUUGUGUACUGUAAGGGUAGUAAUAUUAUAAAAUAGAAGAUUAAAGAUUUUACCUUUUGUAUCAGGGUUAAUUUAAAUACUUAUUUUAGAAUCCUUUCUCGAAUAGGAAAUAUUUACAUUAUUUGGUUUUAUUUGUAUAAAAAAAGAAAUUAAAAGUAAUGUGGGUUUGAUAUAAAUUUAGUUUUUCUAUAUCUGGUUGCUUUAUUUUUGGUUUAAUCAAUCGAAUUUAUUUCUGUUUAAAUUUUAUAUUUGUACAAGGAUAAUCUUGUAUGUAAGUUUUUAGAUGAGUAUUUUGUUUAUAACGUAUGCUUAAUAUUAGUAAUCGUUUUAAUUUGUAGUAAUUAAUUAAAUUAGUUUUAAUAUUUUAUGAGAUAGCUUUAAGGGGAGGUAAAGUUGUUUAAUUGAAUAAUAAAAUUGAAAUAAUUAUGAUUAAAUUAGUAAAUUAUAAAAUAAUAAUUAAGAACUCGGCAAAUUUAAUUUUCGUCUGUUUAUCAAAAACAUUUCUGGGAGAAAAAUAUUUUUGGUAUGUCCUGCUCAAUGCUAGUGUAAAUAGCUGCAGUAUAUUGACUGUACAAAGGUAGCAUAAUCAUUAGUUCUUUAAUUGAGGGCUGGUAUGAAAGGAUGAACGUAAGAUUAACUUUUUUAUUGUUAUGAAAUUUUAACUUGGAAUUUAAGUUAAAAUACUUAAAUGAAUAAAAGGGACGAGAAGACCCUAUAGAAUUUAAAAAUUAAAUUGUAAAAUAAUUUUUUGGUUGGGGUGACAUAAAAUUAACUUUUUUUGGUUUAAUCAUUGAUAAAUGAUUAUAUGAUCCUGGGAAAUCCAGAGAAUAAGAUAAAAUUACCUUAGGGAUAACAGCAUAAUAUUUUUUGGAAGAUCAUAUUUAUGAAAAUGGUUAUGACCUCGAUGUUGAAUUAAGUUUACAUUUAAAUGUAGAGAUUUGAGUGUUAAGUCUGUUCGACUUUAAUUUUUACAUGAUUUGAGUUCAGACCGGCGUGAGCCAGGUUGGUUUCUAUCUUUUUAUAAUUAUUUUGAUUUAGUACGAAAGGAUUGAUUAAUUUUAUUUAUAUUGUUUAAUAAAUUACUAAAAUAAAUUU